GACGAACGCUGGCGGCGUGCUUAACACAUGCAAGUCGAACGGAAAGGCCCUGCUUUUGUGGGGUGCUCGAGUGGCGAACGGGUGAGUAACACGUGAGUAACCUGCCCUUGACUUUGGGAUAACUUCAGGAAACUGGGGCUAAUACCGGAUAGGAGCUCCUGCUGCAUGGUGGGGGUUGGAAAGUUUCGGCGGUUGGGGAUGGACUCGCGGCUUAUCAGCUUGUUGGUGGGGUAGUGGCUUACCAAGGCUUUGACGGGUAGCCGGCCUGAGAGGGUGACCGGCCACAUUGGGACUGAGAUACGGACCAGACUCCUACGGGAGGCAGCAGUGGGGAAUAUUGCACAAUGGGCGGAAGCCUGAUGCAGCAACGCCGCGUGCGGGAUGACGGCCUUCGGGUUGUAAACCGCUUUCGCCUGUGACGAGGCGUGAGUGACGGUAAUGGGUAAAGAAGCACCGGCUAACUACGUG
rnacentral:rRNA from 1 species